UACAGAGGGGGCAAGCGUUGUUCGGAAUUACUGGGCGUAAAGGGCGCGUAGGCGCCUUCUAAGUCGAACGUGAAAUCCCCGGGCUCAACCCGGGAACUGCGUCCGAUACUGGCAGGCUUGAAUCCGGGAGAGGGAUGCGGAAUUCCAGGUGUAGCGGUGAAAUGCGUAGAUAUCUGAAGGAACACCGGUGGCGAAGGCGCAUCCUGGACCGGCAUUGACGCUGGAGGC
rnacentral:rRNA from 1 species